CUAGAUGCGUAGCUGAUGGGAAACAGGUUAAUAUUCCUGUACCGAUCUAUAGUGCGAUGUGGGGACGGAGAAGGUUAGCUCAGCCAACUGUUGGAUAUGUUGGUUCAAGCCUGUAGUCGUGCCUGGUAGGCAAAUCCGCCGGGCUUAGAUGAGGGGUGAUAAGCAGUCUGCUUGUAGACGAACUGAGUGAUACCCUGCUUCCAGGAAAAGCCACUAAGCUUCAGCUAUAGACGACCGUACCGCAAACCGACACUGGUGCGCGAGAUGAGUAUUCUAAGGCGCUUGAGAGAACUCUGGAGAAGGAACUCGGCAAAUUGACACCGUAACUUCGGAAGAAGGUGUGCCUUUAGUAGGUGAACCAUUUACUUGGGGAGCCCAAUGAGGUCGCAGAGAAUCGGUGGCUGCAACUGUUUAAUAAAAACACAGCACUCUGCAAAGACGAAAGUCGACGUAUAGGGUGUGACGCCUGCCCGGUGCUGGAAGAUUAAUUGAUGGGGUGCAAGCUCUUGAUCGAAGUCCCAGUAAACGGCGGCCGUAACGAUAACGUCCUAAGGUAGCGAAAUUCCUUGUCGGGUAAGUUCCGACCUGCACGAAUGGCGUAAUGAUGGCCACACUGUCUCCUCCAGAGACUCAGCGAAGUUGAAAUGUUUGUGAUGAUGCAAUCUCCCCGCGGAAAGACGGAAAGACCCCAUGAACCUUUACUGUAGCUUUACAUUGGACUUUGAACAGAUCUGUGUAGGAUAGGUGGGAGGCUUUGAAGCAUGAACGCUAGUUUGUGUGGAGCCAACGUUGAAAUACCACCCUGGUGUGUUUGAGGUUCUAACCUUGUCCCGUUAUCCGGGAUGGGGACAGUGUAUGGUGGGCAGUUUGACUGGGGCGGUCUCCUCCCAAAGUGUAACGGAGGAGUUCGAAGGUACGCUAGCCACGGUCGGAAAUCGUGGUGAUAGUGCAUUGGCAUAAGCGUGCUUGACUGCGAGACUGACAAGUCGAGCAGGUACGAAAGUAGGACAAAGUGAUCCGGUGGUUCUGUAUGGAAGGGCCAUCGCUCAACGGAUAAAAGGUACUCUGGGGAUAACAGGCUGAUACCGCCCAAGAGCUCAUAUCGACGGCGGUGUUUGGCACCUCGAUGUCGGCUCAUCUCAUCCUGGGGCUGUAGCCGGUCCCAAGGGUAUGGCUGUUCGCCAUUUAAAGAGGUACGUGAGCUGGGUUUAAAACGUCGUGAGACAGUUUGGUCCCUAUCUUCCGUGGGCGCUGCAAGAUUGAGAGAGCCUGCUCCUAGUACGAGAGGACCGGAGUGGACACACCUCUGGUGUAUCGGUUGUCACGCCAGUGGCAUUGCCGAGUAGCUACGUGUGGAAGAGAUAACCGCUGAAAGCAUCUAAGCGGGAAACUCGUCUCAAGAUGAGUCUUGCCGGGGCCU
rnacentral:rRNA from 1 species